CCUACGGGUGGCAGCAGUGGGGAAUAUUGCACAAUGGGGGAAACCCUGAUGCAGCGACGCCGCGUGAAGGAAGAAGUAUUUCGGUAUGUAAACUUCUAUCAGCAGGGAAGAAAAUGACGGUACCUGACUCAGAAGCACCGGCUAACUACGUGCCAGCAGCCGCGGUAAUACGUAGGGGGCCAGCGUUAUCCGGAUUUACUGGGUGUAAAGGGAGCGUAGGCGGCGAUGCAAGUCAGAAGUGAAAGGCCGGGGCUCAACUCCGGGACUGCUUUUGAAACUGUGGUGCGAGAUUGCAGGAGAGGUAAGUGGAAUUCCUAGUGUAGCGAUGAAAUGCGUAGAUAUUAGGAAGAACACCAGUGGCGAAGGCGGCUUACUGGACUGUAAAUGACGCUGAGGCUCGAAAGCGUGGGGAGCAAACAGGAUUAGAUACCCGAGUAGUC
rnacentral:rRNA from 1 species